GACGAACCGUCCAACCGUUGUUCGGAAUCACUGGGCUUAAAGGGCGCGUAGGCGGGUCAUCAAGUCGGGGGUGAAAUCUUUCAGCUCAACUGGAAAAGAGCUUCCGAUACUGGUGGUCUCGAGGGAGGUAGGGGUCGAUGGAACUUCCGGUGGAGCGGUGAAAUGCGUAGAUAUCGGAAGGAACGCCGGUGGCGAAAGCGAUCGACUGGACCUUUUCUGACGCUGAGGCGCGAAAGCCAGGGGAGCAAACGGG
rnacentral:rRNA from 1 species